UACGGAGGGUGCGAGCGUUGUCCGGAAUCACUGGGCGUAAAGGGCGCGUAGGCGGCUUGGGAAGUCCGUGGUGAAAGCUCGUGGCUCAACUACGAGUCGGCCAAGGGAUACUCCCUGAGCUCGAGUCGACUAGAGGCUAAUGGAAUUCCGGGUGUAGCGGUGGAAUGCGUAGAGAUCCGGAAGAACACCGGUGGCGAAGGCGGUUAGCUGGGGGUCGAACUGACGCUGAGGCGCGACAGCGUGGGGAGCAAACAGG
rnacentral:rRNA from 1 species